AACCAUGUGCAAUUUACAGGCAAAAUGACAUCAUAGGGAGUAAAUCAAGUACAAAAAUCAUAUAAGUUGCAUUCUCUAAAUUGUCU